CACCUAAUAGCUAGCCCCACAUUCAACUACAAAACUCAACUAUUAAUACCCCCUAAUACACUUAAUUAAAUAAAACAAACCAUUUUUCCCCCAAGUACAGGCGAUAAAAAAGGACCAUGGAGCUAUAAAUAAAGUACCGCAAGGGAACUCUGAAAGAGAAAUGAAACAACUCAGUUAAGCACAAAAAAGCAGAGAUUUAACCUCGUACCUUUUGCAUCAUGAUUUAGCUAGUAAAAUUUAGGCAAAGAGCACUUUAGUCUAACUCCCCGAAACUAGACGAGCUACUCCAAGACAGCCUGCAUAGGGCACAUCCGUCUCUGUGGCAAAAGAGUGGAAAGAGCUUUGAGUAGAGGUGAUAAACCUACCGAGUCUAGUAAUAGCUGGUUGCCCGAAAAUUGAGUUUAAGCUCAGCUUUUUGCUUUCUUAAUUCACAGACAUAAAAUACAACAGACUCCAAGAAACCAAAAAAGUAAGUCAAAGGGGGUACAGCCCCUCUGACCAAAGAAACAACUUUUCCAGGAGAAUAAGGAUCAAAAUAAUUAAGGCCACAUGUUUAGGUGGGCUUAAGAGCAGCCACCCUGUUGAAAGCGUUAAAGCUCAGACAUACUUACGCCACUAAUACCGAUCAUACGCAUCCUAAUCCCUACCCUACUAUCGGGCCCUUCUAUGCUCACAUAGAAGAGAAUAUGCUAAUAUGAGUAACAAGGGGACGACCCCCUCCAAGCACAAGUGUACAUCGGAACGAACCCCCACCGAAAACUAACGGCCUCAGCCAAAGAGAGUAAUGAAUUUUAAACUAAAUACAAGAAAAACAUUCACCACCUUAACCGUUAACCCCACACUGGCGUGCCUGACUGGAAAGACUAAAAGAAAAAGAAGGAACUCGGCAAACCUGAUAAAGCCUCGCCUGUUUACCAAAAACAUCGCCUCUUGCAAACAAUGAAUAAGAGGUCCCGCCUGCCCUGUGACUAUAUGUUUAACGGCUGCGGUAUUCUGACCGUGCAAAGGUAGCGCAAUCACUUGCCCUUUAAAUGGGGGCCCGUAUGAAUGGCACAACGAGGGCCUAACUGUCUCCUCUUUAAAGUCAAUGAAAUUGAUCUCUCCGUGCAGAAGCGGGGAUAAAAACAUAAGACGAGAAGACCCUAUGGAGCUUUAGACACAAAACAGAUCACGUCAAACACCUACAAAUAAGUAAUAAACCAAAUGAUUACUGUUCAAAUGUCUUUGGUUGGGGCGACCGCGGGGUAACAAAAAACCCCCACAUGGAAUGAAAGCACUUUCAAAACCAAGAGCUACCGCUCUAAUAAGCAGAACAUCUGACCACCAGAUCCGGCCUAGCCGAUCAACGAACCGAGUUACCCUAGGGAUAACAGCGCAAUCUUCUUUUAGAGCCCAUAUCGACAAGAAGGUUUACGACCUCGAUGUUGGAUCAGGACAUCCUAAUGGUGCAGCUGCUAUUAAGGGUUCGUUUGUUCAACGAUGAAAGUCCUACGUGAUCUGAGUUCAGACCGGAGUAAUCCAGGUCAGUUUCUAUCUAUGAAGUGACCUUUUCCAGUACGAAAGGACCGAAAAGGAAAGGCCCAUGCUAAAAGCACGCCUUUCUCUCACCCGUUGCCUCCAACUAAAACAGGCAAGAGAGCACACAAAAUAGUUAAAGAACAUAACAU
rnacentral:rRNA from 1 species